rnacentral:rRNA from 1 species
UGAGGAAUAUUGGUCAAUGGGCGCAAGCCUGAACCAGCCAUCCCGCGUGCAGGAAGACGGCCCUAUGGGUUGUAAACUGCUUUUCCAGGGGGAGAAUUUUUCUGUCGUGACAGGAAUUGACGGUACCCUGGGAAUAAGCAUCGGCUAACUCCGUGCCAGCAGCCGCGGUAAUACGGAGGAUGCGAGCGUUAGCCGGAUUUAUUGGGUUUAAAGGGUGCGUAGGCGGAUUGAUAAGUCAGUGGUGAAAACCUGCAGCUUAACUGUAGACUUGCCGUUGAUACUGUCAGUCUUGAGUGUGGUCAAGGUAGGCGGAAUGUGUAAUGUAGCGGUGAAAUGCUUAGAUAUUACACAGAACACCGAUUGCGAAGGCAGCUUACUGGGCCAUUACUGACGCUGAUGCACGAAAGCGUGGGGAUC